AUAAAAACAGUUCUGUCUCCGAAGCACCAGCAAAAUUAAAGUAGGAAACCAAUAGCCACCAUCACUGGGGUUUCACGUUAUGCAGUAAAUUAUUCACCAUACAGUAUGUGGGGAUUGAGAGAAAUAAAAAGAUGGAGAAAUAAAAAACACAGAUGAAUUGCUGUGGAGUCCACCUGUAGCUCUCUUUCUCCGGGGCGAUGAUCACUCCUAUCUUCAGUCAGUCGACAUUCAACUAGAGAGAGCGGUGAUCUGUUUCAGCACCUUUGCUACGGACAGCUCCAGCAGCAUCAGCAGACACCGAGCAAACAUUCGUGGAAAGCAGAAUCAUCAGCUUACCUCUACCUACUGUAUGUCACCUGUUCCUAAUGGACCAUAUCAACUGGAUCCACCUCAUUUCUGGCCGGGAGCCUGUCUACUACUACUCAAGGAGUACAGACCAAUAGGUAGGCAAUACACGGUAUGAGAUUCCCUAUCCCUCAUGCAUACUACACUGUCCAAACCUCUAAUAA
rnacentral:lncRNA from 1 species